rfam:Triticum aestivum genome assembly, contig: Triticum_aestivum_CS42_TGACv1_scaffold_500111_6BL
CUAGUACUCCCUCCGUUCCAAAUUACUCGUUGCAGAAAUGGAUGUAUCUAGAACUAAACAGAUACAUCCAUACCUGCGACAAGUAAUUCGGAACGGAGGGAGUAGUAU